GUCUUGCACGUGGAAAAAGCUUACAUACUACAAGAAAUGUAAGCGUCUUUUUUUGCUUCUAUGGAGCCAAGAAAUACGCCAUAUCGACCCUGUUACCUUGGUAUUGUACGUUCUGUCAAGGUCGGCGAUUGUUUCUGUAUAAUGAUCAAGUGGUUUAGACACAAUGUCGAGGAUUCAUGCUUUUCACUUUGACACGACUUUUCUCAAGUAUCAAGAAGAAAAUGAGAAAACCUCAAAAUCAAAGAAAGUCCUGGAAGGAAAUAAAUACCUGACAACUCUCAACAAGACUGACUGGUGAAUAUUCCUGAUGCUUCAAGCACGAUUCAAACAAGACUCUUAUUCAAAUGAACAAAACAGAUGUAGCAUAUUCCUUACAACAAAAUUUCGAGUCCAAGUUAAGAUUCAAAAUGCCCCCAAAAAACUGCUAUUUCGAGAUUUUUUGUAAGUUCAAUUUAUGAUAAGGGCUGUUUGGGAUGAAAAAUUUUCCCGCCAAAAAACUUAGAAAAAAUACGGCGCCCAAAAUACGCAUGCGCCAAAUUUUUUUUUUGUUUUAUUCAAGUAAUAUUUUUCAAAUUUAGUCUAAAAUGGUAAUAAAAAAUAUUUGUUUCCUUGUCUUCCUGUAUUAGCUAUAAUCAAUAAAGUACACUGUUUGGUUUUUUUUCCAUCUUUUAUUGUCUCAAUAAAAUAAAAGUUUCGUAAUCAAACAAAGUCUUGUCUUAAAUUCUUAUUAAUCACAAGUUAAUUAACUAAUUUUCAAUUAAAUUAUGAUAAACGGUGUCAGGGAAAAACUUUCUUCUAUAUACUAAGACUUUUGGCGGAAAAAUUUGGAACUUUUUGCACAGAGUUUCCCCUGGUAACAUUUUGGGCAAUAAUUUUAAUGAGGCUUCCUUUAAAAGUUUGCGCCAAAAAUAUUUACACAGCAUUUCGUGCAAAAUAAUUGAAAAGUAGACGCUUAUUUAUCCUCUCUCAGAAGAAAAACAUUUUGAGCAAUUCCGUUUCGUUUCUUUAAAAAGAAAUUCUGACUCGAUAGGUCUAUCUCUAACUUCUUCAAUUCUUUGCACGAGAUGAUGUGUUGCAGUCUCUAACGAAAGAGCAUCAUGGCAGACUAUACAGCGUCCAAUCAGAAAUAUGAAAUUCACCUUCAAAAUUGUGAUCUCUUUUUAAAUUCUGUUUCUUUCAUAAUCCAAUCAAUUUUUGUGUAAGCCUAAAGCUUGCCGUGAUGCCUUUUAAGGAACAAAAGAUCUUUAAAGC